UACGUAGGGUGCAAGCGUUAAUCGGAAUUACUGGGCGUAAAGCGUGCGCAGGCGGCUUUGCAAGACAGAUGUGAAAUCCCCGAGCUCAACUUGGGAACUGCGUCCGAUACUGGUUGGCUUGAGUUUGGGAGAGGGAUGCGGAAUUCCAGGUGUAGCGGUGAAAUGCGUAGAUAUCUGGAGGAACACCGGUGGCGAAGGCGGCAUCCUGGACCAAUACUGACGCUGAGGAGCGAAAGCCAGGGGAGCAAACGGG
rnacentral:rRNA from 1 species